rnacentral:tRNA from 1 species
GCCCGAAUGGUGGAAUUGGUAGACACAGCGGACUUAAAAUCCGCCGCUUUCCUGAAUAAGGGGCGUGCCGGUUCGACCCCGGCUUCGGGCACCA